GUGCCAGCAGCCGCGGUAAUACCGGAAGGGUGCAAGCGUUAAUCGGAAUUACUGGGCGUAAAGCGCACGCAGGCGGUUUGUUAAGUCAGAUGUGAAAUCCCCGGGCUCAACCUGGGAACUGCAUCUGAUACUGGCAAGCUUGAGUCUCGUAGAGGGGGGUAGAAUUCCAGGUGUAGCGGUGAAAUGCGUAGAGAUCUGGAGGAAUACCGGUGACGAAGGCGGCCCCCUGGACGAAGACUGACGCUCAGGUGCGAAAGCGUGGGGAGCAAACAGGAUUAGAUACCCUGAUAGUCC
rnacentral:rRNA from 1 species